GAGCUUCACAAUCCCUGGACGCCCGGGUUCCACGGGCGAACCCGCCGCGAGGCCGCUGUGGCUCCCGCUCGGACCCCUGCCGCAGCUGCUAUGGUCUCGUUUGCAAAUCUCAUCCUCCGCAACUCCUCGCCGCAAGCCAGCUAUCAGAUCCAACGGCAGCAGAUCAGUUUCGAGUACUUGAACCCACUCGCUCGACAUCUGACUUCCCUUGCAAGAUGGUUCUUUCGAGGCUCCCCUUUUAGCCAAUCCCCAUGAAGCGUGGCCCAGGGAGCACCUCUGUUCCAUCAUUUCCUUCUCUCUCCCAUUGUGGUUCCCAUUGAUCCUCUCCCUCUUCCCUCUUCCCUCUUCCCUCUUCCCUCUUCUCUCUCUCAAACGCAUCGAAGAAGUAAAACCAAAUCGAAUGAGUAGUAUUUGUGAGGAAAUAUUGGGCUUCUCCUUCUUGCAUCCACGAGGUAGAUUAGCCGGUUUAUGAGACCAAGAAAGACCUCUGUUCGAGUAACCAUAGAAUUUCUAUUCAGAGAAUCAUAUAGUUGUCGAUCGUAUUUAACUAUCGUUGGAUUUUUCAGAUCCCUGAUUUCAUAGAGAUUUUUUCUGACACCAAUGCGAGGCAUCAACUUCUUUAAAUAAUCAUGAGAGAAUUGGAGUACAGUGCAACAAGAGGUCAGAGAGCUAAGCAAGACAUUUGAUGGACUGUGUGCAUGGGGAUGCAGAGAGUAAGCAUGAGCAUCUGAAAACACAUCCCGCGAAAGCUGUCGCUGAAGAUGGUGAUCCCCCUCCAGGAAACGAAAAUGAAGUUGAGAAGGAAACAACUUGCUCUUCCUCUGCUACUUCCGAUGACUCGUCCGAGGAUUUCUUCCAGUUUGAUCCAGCUGAACUCAGCAAGUCAGUCGUGGCGAACGAUCAAGAGAUGAGAAGCCACUGUGGUGCAGCUACAUCAAGCACGAACGGGUUCCUAAUCCUCAUCGAUGAUGACGAUGAGGAUAGCAUCCUUGCAGAGGCCCAGCCGGUGGGUAUAGCUGACACCGGUACCUCCUGUAUGGUGGCUUCGAGACAGUCACCUCCAGUUCAGGUGAUGGAGAGAUUGGACGUCCCCGACACGGGUCGGAUUCCCUCCCCCAUCUUCACAAGGGACAGGUCCACGAUGACGCCGAUGGAGUGGAGCGUGGCCUCCAACGAGUCUUUGUUCAGCAUCCAUGUAGGGACUUGCAGCUUUUCCAGAGACCAUCUCAUUCUGAUGGGCAGGUCAGGGGAGUUCACCCCCAUCGACUCCGGUAGCCCUGUGGAAUCCUGCCGACUGACGUCUGCCGUUCCAGGCUCAGAUCCUGUAGGAAACGAGGGCGCCGGCGCCAUGAAGGGUGCGGAUCUGGAAGAGCAGCUUUAUUCGACGAGUGAGGGUGCAAAACUGUCCACCAGACUAUCUCACCGAUCAGCUAUUGGCAGCGCAUCCAGCUUUCAGUCGUUUGCGUUUCCAGUAUUGACAGGUAAAGGAAGUAGUAGCUCAAUGAAGGUGGAACAUGGGCAUCCACUUCAGACUGAUACACCAAAGGAGGAAGAAGCUGCUGCUGCAGGAGAGAAUAAAUGGUGUCCAUGCUUUUCUUGUUGCUCAUCCUGCUGCUGAGAGGCUUUCGCAAAUGAAAUUUUGUUCAGACAGAGAGAAGCGCAUAUGUUCAUGGUCAUCAGUUCCUCCACGUCUGUGCCUCGGAAGGCUCGGCAUGAUGAAGGAGGCCGUCUUUUGCUCGCCUGAUGAUAACUUAUCUUCGAAUGCUAAUGCUGGAUUUAGAGAAAUCAUUACUCAAAAAACUGGGAGCAACCAACCCCACAGCGGAAUGCAGGACUUGCAACUGAAGUCGGUCGGUCUUUUACCUACAGCAGCACAUACGAGGAGGCUCUCACAAUCUGGCUAGAAGCAACGGGAUUUGUGUUAAGUUUGUAGCGAGCGCUGGCUUAUUAAGUAACUUAAGCUCAUAAUGUGACAGGAUUAAUUUUUUUCAUAUUCCCGAGAGUU